GCGGGUGAGCUUCUGAGCCGGCCGGGUUUAAAGGCGCCGCAUCCCUCAUGAUUCUCCCGAAAGGUUCAUUGGGGGUUUUGGGUGGGAAAUGGAAGUCCCUUUCUUAUCACCAACGCAUUUUCUGGUCUGGAAAAUACCCACGAAAUAAUCCCAGGGGAAGUUUCAUUGAACCCAGCUGUCGUGAGGACCUGGAGAAGGCUAAUCCGAUCCAGGAGCUGAGGGCAGCAUUUUCACUCUCCAUCUGUUUCUGCCUGUAAUGCAUGCAAGGAGCUUCUAAUCCUAAUGGUAGUGGUGACAAAUAGAUGAUGGAUUGGAGAACAACAGAACGG